AACGAACGCUGGCGGCAUGCCUAACACAUGCAAGUCGAACGAGACCUUCGGGUCUUGUGGCGCACGGGUGCGUAACGCGUGGGAACCUGCCCUUAGGUUCGGAAUAACUCACCGAAAGGGGUGCUAAUACCGGAUAAUGUCUUCGGACCAAAGAUUUCUCGCCGUUGGAUGGGCCCGGGUUGGAUUAGCUGGUUGGUAGGGUAAAAGCCUGCCAAGGCGACGAUCCAGAGCUGGUCGGAGAGGAUGACCAGCCACACUGGGACUGAGACACGGCCCAGACUCCUACGGGAGGGAGCAGUGGGGAAUAUUGGACGAUGGGCGAAAGCCUGAUACAGCAACGCCGCGGGAGUGAUGAAGGCCUUAGGGUUGUAAAGCUCUUUUACCCGAGAUGAUAAUGACAGUACCGGGAGAAUAAGCUCCGGCUAACUCCGUG
rnacentral:rRNA from 1 species